rnacentral:snoRNA from 1 species
GUGAUGACUCUGGAAAAUUCAAGCUUGACAGACCGGAAUUCAGUAUUCUUAGUUGGGUUUUGCGUGUCGAUAACCCGCUGAACUGA